CAAUAAAUCUGAAUGUUGGUCUACAGAAUGAUUUGAGAGCUUGUACUCCUCUGUACUGGGUUUCAUGAAUGGCCCAACUAACAACUCAGUGAUCCACAUCGCGCUUUGUAUAUCUUUCGUUGUGAGCUCCAGUUGGCUACUUUGGAUCCUGUUUAGCGAUAUACGCUGGAUUUCAUGGCUUGCUGUUUACAUCCGAUUUGACAGAAACAUUGUUUCUGUUAUUACACGAGUUAGCAAGAGAGGGCAGCACGGUGAACCAUCAUCUAGUGACACUUUUUUUCUUUAAGCGUCGAGCAAUAUCAGGAACAUUUAUUGUCAGUUGAAGCCAAUGUUGUUGAUAAGUGUACAUAACCUAUAUAUAUUGCUCGAGUAUCUGUUGAUUUUUGUCAUUUUUUAUGUCUUAGGGGUGGUCCCGAGCUUCGAAAACACGUUGGCGAAUAAUGGAGCAAAAAUUAGUGUUAAACACCGAAGGAGGAGCAAUUUGGAGAGCAGCAUGGGAAGAUACAUGAAUUUCCAUUUGGCAUAUAAUAUAUUAUGGGAAAGAUCAUCCAAUCUGGAGUCUAACGCAAAAAGAUGGGUUGCAAAUCAGAGUUGUAGAUAAAAUGUCAUGCGAAACUGAAGUUGGACUGCAGAGACGAGUACAAGCACUGUCGGUGUAAGGUGGUGGUGCGAGUUGAAGCAUCACUGGUUCAAGUUAGCGGCACCAAACUUCGUGGAUCGUCUCAGGCUGGUGAUUCUGGUGUUUUGGGCACAAUUUUCAAGGAAAUCUAUCUAACCCUACGAUGGAUAUCUCUUCACUCAAUUUGCUUAUUACUUAAAUGAUGUGUAACUGAACUCAUUUGUUAGUAUAAUUGGAGUAACCCAAUUUUGAAGAUUGGCUCCGAUAUUGUAAAAAGUGCAUCUCUUUACCAACACUAGAGUAUCUACCCUUGUGUAAAGACUUGAGCAAGAAUCAAAUUAAAGUAAUUAUAGAGGAAUUUUAUGG
rnacentral:lncRNA from 1 species